rnacentral:rRNA from 1 species
UCCCUAUGGGGUGCAGCAGGCGCGAAACCUCCACAAUGCGCGAAAGCGUGAUGGGGUUAGCCCGAGUGCUGUCCGAAAAGGAUGGCUUUUCCUUGGUGUAAAAACCCAGGGGAAUAAAGGGGGGGCAAGACUGGUGUCAGCCGCCGCGGUAAUACCAGCUCCCUGAGUGGUAAGGACGAUUAUUUGGCUUAAAGCGUCCGUAGCCGGCUUAGUGAGUCUUUUGUUAAAUCCAAUGACUUAAUCAUUGAACUGCAAGAGAUACUGCUAUGCUAGAAGACGGGAGAGGUCGACGGUAGUCCAGGGGUAGGGGUGAAAUCCUAUAAUCCCGGGAGGACCACCAGUGGCGAAGGCGGUCGACCAGAACGCGCCUGACGGUGAUGGACGAAAGCUGGGGGAGCGAACCGGAUUAGACACCCGGGUAGUCCCAGCUGUAAACGAUGCGAGCUAGGUGUUGGAGUAGCUACGAGCUCCUCCAGUGCCGCAGAGAAAUUGUUAAGCCCGCCGCCUGGGGAGUACGAUCGCAAGAUUGAAACUUAAAGGAAUUGGCGGGGGAGCACCACAAGGGGUGAAGCUUGCGGUUUAAUUGGAUUCAACGCCGGAA